rnacentral:rRNA from 1 species
GACGAACGCUGGCGGCGUGCCUAAUACAUGCAAGUCGACCUUAGUGGCGGACGGGUGAGUAAUGCAUAGGAAUCUGCCUGGUAGUGGGGGAUAAAGUCCGGAAACGGGCGCUAAUACCGCAGACUAUAAGAUGUGCCUAGGUCGGAUUAGCUAGUUGGUGGGGUAAAGGCCUACCAAGGCGACGAUCCGUAACUGGGCUGCUAGGAUGUUCAGGCACACUGGAACUUAGACACGGUCCAGCCUCCUACGUGAGGCAGCAGGGGGGAAUAUUUGACAAUGGGCGAAAUCCUGAUCCAGCCAUCCCGCGUGUGAGAAGAAGGUCUUCGGAUUGUAAAGCACUUUAAGUUGGGAGGCGUUACCAACAGAAUAAGCACCGGCUAACUUCGUGCCAGCAGCCGCGGUAAUUC